GUUGGAGUUCAAAUGGUCUGGUGAGGUUAAGGAUUCAAAGCAUGUAAAUGGCGUACUCGAACAAUUAAUGCCUGGUUGGAAUUUGGAAAGUCUUUGUAUAGUUGGCUAUGGCGGCACAAAAUUUCCAAGUUGGAUGGGGGACUCUGGAUUCUCAAAAUUAAUGUUCCUGAAGCUUGAUGAAUGUAAAAAUUGCUCAUGCUUGCCAAUGCUUGGACAGCUACCAUCUUUACAAGACCUCUCAAUCACAU
rnacentral:misc_RNA from 1 species